rnacentral:rRNA from 1 species
CCGAGAAGGGCGGCUUGUCCUAAUACAUGCAAGGUCGAGCGAAUGGAUUAAGAGCUUGCUCUUAUGAAGUUAGCGGCGGACGGGUGAGUAACACGUGGGUAACCUGCCCAUAAGACUGGGAUAACUCCGGGAAACCGGGGCUAAUACCGGAUAACAUUUUGAACCGCAUGGUUCGAAAUUGAAAGGCGGCUUCGGCUGUCACUUAUGGAUGGACCCGCGUCGCAUUAGCUAGUUGGUGAGGUAACGGCUCACCAAGGCAACGAUGCGUAGCCGACCUGAGAGGGUGAUCGGCCACACUGGGACUGAGACACGGCCCAGACUCCUACGGGAGGCAGCAGUAGGGAAUCUUCCGCAAUGGACGAAAGUCUGACGGAGCAACGCCGCGUGAGUGAUGAAGGCUUUCGGGUCGUAAAACUCUGUUGUUAGGGAAGAACAAGUGCUAGUUGAAUAAGCUGGCACCUUGACGGUACCUAACCAGAAAGCCACGGCUAACUACGUGCCAGCAGCCGCGGUAAUACGUAGGUGGCAAGCGUUAUCCGGAAUUAUUGGGCGUAAAGCGCGCGCAGGUGGUUUCUUAAGUCUGAUGUGAAAGCCCACGGCUCAACCGUGGAGGGUCAUUGGAAACUGGGAGACUUGAGUGCAGAAGAGGAAAGUGGAAUUCCAUGUGUAGCGGUGAAAUGCGUAGAGAUAUGGAGGAACACCAGUGGCGAAGGCGACUUUCUGGUCUGUAACUGACACUGAGGCGCGAAAGCGUGGGGAGCAAACAGGGAUUAGAUACCCUGGUAGUCCACGCCGUAAACGAUGAGUGCUAAGUGUUAGAGGGUUUCCGCCCUUUAGUGCUGAAGUUAACGCAUUAAGCACUCCGCCCUGGGGAGUACGGGCCGCAAGGCUGAAACUCAAAGGGAAUUGACGGGGGGCCCGCACAAGCGGUGGGAGCAUGGUGGUUUUAAUUCGAAGCAACGGCGAAGAAUCCUUUACCAGGUCGUGGACAUCCUCUGAAAACCCUAGUAGAAUAAGGGGCUUCUCCUUUCGGGGAGCAGGAGUGGACAGGUUGGUGGCAAUGGAUUGUCGUCCAGCUCGUGUCCGUGAGAUGAUUGGGGGUGAGGUUACCGGCAACGAAGGCCAGCCCCUGGAUCUACUGCCAUACAUUAUAGGCAUCAACGGUACUGCGGGUGGCACAUACUGAUACGAUAAUGUAGGCGAUC